CCCUAAUAUCCAAACAUGUAAAACUUGAAGAACUAAAAGUGAGAUUUUCUAACCUGCGAAUGGUGAGAACUGGUAAGGAAUCAUAUAAUAACCAUGAAAAGCAGCCCCAGGUAGGAAACAAAGGAAGAUGGAGAUUACGGGAGUGCCUGGGGAGAAUCCGUGAAGACCAGCUCUUAAGUCCGGAGAACUUCAGAAGGAAAGGUCAGUUACAGCGGCCUUGGAGACAGCAAGUAGAACGGACAGGACUCCUGCAUCCGGAAAAGCGCUGUCCUUACUUAAAACAAGCAAUCUACAAGCAAGCAGUCUGUGAACUACAUUUGUGGGAACCAGAGAUCAUCUGUCCUGAGGUUACUCUGGCUGUGCUGUAGAAGAUGUAGGAGAGGGGGAAGGGCAAGAGGCAAGCAUAAGAGGAACUUCAGUCCAUUGCUAUCUUCAGCCAAGAAAGUGCACGCAGCGCAGACUCCUUUUGAGGCACAGGGGAUCAGCCCAAAUUAAAGCAGGAAUUCGGAGGCGCCUAGAGCAGAGAAACCGAGACCUACGCCUACACACCACUGCACUGUGGAAGAAGCAGCACAAACACCAAGCCCUAGCGAGUGGUGGCUGCGGGUGUGUGAGCCUCCGCUGGAGUGAAGAAACUGCAAAGGAGAGAAAGCAAGAAGCUGAUCUUAGGCAGUUUGAGACUCUUGAAGAUUACUUAGGUGAGUAAGAUAACACAUUGGUGUUCAUCCUGGACUUUUGGGAUCCCUUACACUUACUGAAAUUAAAUACCAUAUGCCAAAUCUCAUAGAGAUGGGGGUCUAUUUUACCAUAAAGGACAGGGUCCAUAGAAAUGAGUUUUAUUUAGCAAAUAGAUAUUGUAUGUCAUAUAACAUAAAUAUUAAAUAUAAUUUAAAAUUAAAUUCACAUAAUGCAUAUCUUGUGCUGUCUUUUGUAGCCUCAGGUAGAUAGAAAUGCCUGUACCAGAAACUGUUUUGAAAUAUGAACAGUCCCAGAAGUUGCCAAGUACUCCCUGAAAUUUGAACCUAAAGCAAAAAGACAAACAAUGAUACAGUCUCUUCACACCCCCAAAAUAUCAGCCACCAGUAGGACAGAAACCAUCACCAAAAUAGUCUCUAACAAGUGGGGUUUUCCUCUAUGUAGUGUUAGGCCAGGUUGCUCUACAUACACAGGUGUUGGGAGAACACUGCUACUACCUUUACAUGAGGAAUUCACACGAAAAAGCAAAAAUGAACAUAGAAGUAGUAUUUGGAAAGAGGAGGAGACUGGUAGUCAGGAGAGGCAAAAUAUGACCAAAGCAUACUACGUACAUAUAUGAAAAUGUC